GUGUAAAUGAAUUAGUUGAUUCCUUAUUUUAUCAGGUCACCGUCCCGUAACAUCUGCGGACUAGACAAAACAAACUGCAUAUUCUCUAAAAUAUUUUUGCUCUUAGCCCAUAUGGUUUUCAAUAAAAAAAUAACACAGAACCACAUGGGCAUACUCUGUUUACAAAGAAAAAUAAUAGCUUAGGAAAGCCCAAGCUUAUCUUAGUUCAAAACCCUCUUUUUUUUUUUUUUACCAUUCACAAACUCUACAAAUGUAAUAAUAGGACAAACUACGAUAUACAAUUUUACAAGUUAUACCAGAUCUUGAGAAUUUCCCUUCAUGCUCAGAUGAGUGUACAAUUGGCUCCAAAACAAAGGCAGGAAACACCAUGUUCAAAGUUGUAGCUGCCCUGGGCCUCUCCUAGAUGAUCUUGAAGGAGGCCUAUUCAUCUCGGCCACAGAAGGCUGUCGCUGGGGUUCUUCUGGUCUUUGUACUUCCUUUGAUGAAGUAGAAAUGUUGCGCAACUGUGUCUGUGCCUUUGCAUGCAAGCGAUGCUGGUGCUGCAUUUGCUCAAACUGUUGAAGCCUCGAACGAAAAUUAAUUCCAUUGUGCAAACUAGAAUUCCCAAUAUCCUGGUUUACCUCACCAUCCUCAGAGAUUUGUGAUCCACUUGGAAUGUGAUGAUGAAUUUGAGUGUAGGGGUUUCCUGAAGAUGUUCUCUUAAUUUGAUCGCCAUUGAAGGAAUAUGCAGGGACAGUUUUUAAACGAGUCCGUAAUA
rnacentral:misc_RNA from 1 species